rnacentral:rRNA from 1 species
GACGAACGCUGGCGGCGUGCUUAACACAUGCAAGUCGAACGCUGAAGCUUGGUGCUUGCACUGGGUGGAUGAGUGGCGAACGGGUGGGUAAUACGUGAGUAACCUGCCCUUGACUCUGGGAUAAGCCUGGGAAACUGGGUCUAAUACUGGAUACGACAUGUCACCGCAUGGUGGUGUGUGGAAAGGGUUUUACUGGUUUUGGAUGGGCUCACGGCCUAUCAGCUUGUUGGUGGGGUAAUGGCUCACCAAGGCGACGACGGGUAGCCGGCCUGAGAGGGUGACCGGCCACGCUGGGACUGAGACACGGCCCAGACUCCUACGGGAGGCAGCAGUGGGGAAUAUUGCACAAUGGGCGGAAGCCUGAUGCAGCGACGCCGCGUGAGGGAUGACGGCCUUCGGGUUGUAAACCUCUUUCAGCACGGAAGAAGCGAAAGUGACGGUACGUGCAGAAGAAGCGCCGGCUAACUACGUG